CCCAGCCUGGAGGGAAAAGCCUCCCCAUCUUCUCCCUCCCAGUCUCCCCCCCCCACCAGGAGAGCACCCAAAGGCCCCGUUGAAGCGGACCCAACUCUACUCUUGAAGCCACAGUUUCUCCAUCAGAGGGGACCUACUUCUGAUUUUUAAGCACCAGUCCUUCCAUUCAAGGGGACCCCCAACUCUGAUCAAUAAGCUGGCCCCUCCAUUAGAAAAGACCCAACUGAAUGUGAGGCAACUGCCUCUCCACCAGAAGGGACCCUAAACUCUGACUUCCAAAUGGUAGCCUCACUAUGCCAGGGAACCCUAGCUCUGAUCUCUGAGUGCCAGCCAGUCUUUCCACCCAAGAGGAUGCCAACUCUGAUCUCUGAGUAAUAACCCCUUCUUCACUCACUCAGACUCAAGCUAUUUUCUGUGUCUUUAGGGAAUAUAGCUCUCCCAAAGCAGUUCACUUGCCCACAACUGAGAUUUGGGAGACCAAUACUCUCUCCCCCCUCAUGCAUCUAUUUCUAAACCUGCAUCCCUAAGGAGGGAUCCCUCAAAGUUUGGGAAAAGGUCAUGACCCCCUUCCCACCAAACACACAUCCACAUUUGCCUCAUCUCUGGUUCAACCCCCACCUCAUCUAGUCCAGGAGCCAGAAUCAGAGGCUCAGCACUAGCAGGCCUCCCCUCAACCUGGUCAGAGCAAAUGCUUCCUCCCCAUUGCUCCCAUUGACCCCCAGCGCCCGCCACUCUAAGACUGGGGAUGGUCUCUCCUUAACCAUAAUUCCUCUUGAUGCCGCUCUCUCAGUGAAGAUGGAGGAUGGCUGUCCAUUCCCAAGGGAGAGCGGGUGAAAAGGAAGGAAAAGUAUUCUUGCUCGUUAAAAUACAGUAACAUCGCCGCUGGAGGGUCCUGCUGCACCCAAGGAGCUCUGUGGGACUUUGGGAGAGAGCAGGAGCUCCACUCCUUGGCCAGGCCCACCUGCUCCUGUGACACACCUGGAUGGGGAGAGGAAGUGGGGAGGGGCGCCCGAGAGCUGCGCGGACCCAGCACUAAGAAUAGGCCUCCGUCUCCUCGCUCAGCCUCCAGGACACAAGUCCGGGAUCAGGAAGCCAGCUGAGGGCAGCAGGAGAUGAGAUCUGAGGAACCCUGAGGCUGGGGAGCCCGGGGUCACAGAGGUGGCUCCGUGCAGGUGGUACAGUGUUUUUCUGUCUGUGCCUGUGCUUGCAUCCAUAACAUCCUAAGUGUCUGGGUCCCCCUGACAACGUCGAGCUAUGUGUUU
rnacentral:lncRNA from 1 species